rnacentral:rRNA from 1 species
GUGGGGAAUAUUGGGCAAUGGGCGAAAGCCUGACCCAGCAACGCCGCGUGAAGGAAGAAGGUUUUCGGAUCGUAAACUUCUAUCCUAGGUGAAGAUAAUGACGGUAGCCUAGAAGGAAGCCCCGGCUAACUACGUGCCAGCAGCCGCGGUAAUACGUAGGGGGCAAGCGUUGUCCGGAAUGAUUGGGCGUAAAGGGCGCGUAGGCGGCCUUCUAAGUCCGAUGUGAAAGUCCUGCUUUUAAGGUGGGAAUUGCAUUGGAAACUGGAGGGCUUGAGUGCAGGAGAGGUAAGUGGAAUUCCCGGUGUAGCGGUGAAAUGCGUAGAGAUCGGGAGGAACACCAGUGGCGAAGGCGACUUACUGGACUGUAACUGACGCUGAGGCGCGAAAGUGUGGGGAGCAAACAGGAUUAGAAACCCCUGUAGUCC